rnacentral:rRNA from 1 species
GACGAACCGGACAAACGUUAUUCGGAAUUACUGGGCUUAAAGGGUUUGUAGGCGGCCUUGUAAGUCAGGUGUGAAAUCCCUCGGCUCAACCGAGGAAUAGCGCUUGAUACUGCAAGGCUUGAGGGAGACAGGGGUAGCGGAACUGAUGGUGGAGCGGUGAAAUGCGUUGAUAUCAGUAGGAACACCGGUGGCGAAAGCGGCUUACUGGGUCUCUUCUGACGCUGAGGAA